rnacentral:rRNA from 1 species
UACGGAGGGUGCAAACGUUGCUCGGAAUCAUUGGGCGUAAAGCGCACGUAGGCGGCCUGAUAAGUCGGGUGUGAAAGCCCUGGGCUCAACCCAGGAAGUGCACUCGAAACUGCCAGGCUUGAAUAUGGAAGAGGGUCGCGGAAUUCCCGGUGUAGAGGUGAAAUUCGUAGAUAUCGAGAGGAACACCGGUGGCGAAGGCGGCCUUCUGGACAGUGACUGACGCUGAGACGCGAAAGCGUGGGGAGCAAACAGG